AUUGAACGCUGGCGGCAGGCCUAACACAUGCAAGUCGAGCGGAUGAAGGGAGCUUGCUCCUGGAUUCAGCGGCGGACGGGUGAGUAAUGCCUAGGAAUCUGCCUGGUAGUGGGGGACAACGUUUCGAAAGGAACGCUAAUACCGCAUACGUCCUACGGGAGAAAGCAGGGGACCUUCGGGCCUUGCGCUAUCAGAUGAGCCUAGGUCGGAUUAGCUAGUUGGUGAGGUAAUGGCUCACCAAGGCGACGAUCCGUAACUGGUCUGAGAGGAUGAUCGGUCAACCUGGAACUGAGACACGGUCCAGACUCCUACGGGAGGCAGCAGUGGGGAAUAUUGGACAAUGGGCGAAAGCCUGAUUCAGCCAUGCCGCGUGUGUGAAGAAGGUCUUCGGAUUGUAAAGCACUUUAAGUUGGGAGGAAGGGUUGUAGAUUAAUACUCUGCAAUUUUGACGUUACCGACAGAAUAAGCACCGGCUAACUCUGUGCCAGCCGCCGCCGUAA
rnacentral:rRNA from 1 species